GAUGAACGCUAGCGGCAGGCUUAAUACAUGCAAGUCGAGAGGCAGCAUGAGUGUAGCAAUACAUUUGAUGGCGACCGGCCAACGGGUGCGGAACACGUACACAACCUUCCUAUAAGUGGGGAAUAGCCCAGAGAAAUUUGGAUUGAUACCCCGUACCAUAAUGAUGUGGCAUCACAUUAUUAUCAUAGCUUCGGCGCUUAUUGAUGGGUGUCCGGCUGAUUAGAUAGUCGGCGGGGUAACGGCACACCAAGCCUACGAUCAGUAGCUGAUGUGCGAGCAUGAUCAGCCACACAGGCACUGGGACACGGGCCCGACUCCUACGGUAGGCAGGGGUACGAAAAAUUUGUCAAUGGUCGCAAGUCUGAACCAUCCAUGCCGCGUGAAGGAUUAAGGUCCUCUGGAUUGUAAACUUCCUUUAACUGGGACGAAAAAAGGCGAUACUUCGUAACUUCACCGUACCAGAUGAAUAAGCACCGGCUAACGCCUUGCCAGCGGCCGCCCUAAAAC
rnacentral:rRNA from 1 species